rnacentral:rRNA from 1 species
GACGAACGCUGGCGGCGUGCUUAACACAUGCAAGUCGAACGGAAAGGCCAGGAGGGCCGGGUACUCGAGUGGCGAACGGGGGAGUAACACGCGGGUGAUCUGCCCUGCACUUCGGGAUACGCAUGGGAAACUGGGUCUAAUACCGGAUAGGAGCGAUUGGUAGUGUGAUGGUUGGAAAGUUUUUUCGUUGUAGGAUGAGCUCGCGGCCUAUGAGCUUGUUGGUGGGGUACUGGCCUCCCAAGGCGGCGACGGGUAGCCGGCCUGAGAGUCUGGACGGGCAACUUUCCCAUGCGAUCCCUCCCCCCCUCCUCCCUGCCGCAGACCGGGCCCCUCUUUCCACCUCCGCUCAAGCCUGCUGCCGCGCCUCCUCCUCGGGGAUGACGGCCUUCGGGUUGUACACUCCUUUCCCUAGGGACGAAUCUUUUUGUGACGGUACCUACAUAACACGCACCGGCUAACUACGUG